UUAGUCUUUUAAUUGAGGACUGGAAUGAAAGGGUAAACUGGAAAAAAUUUUUUAGGGAUAAAAAGAUGAAGUUGACUUUUUAGUAAGAAGGCUAAAAUAAUUCUUAAAGACGAGAAGACCCUAUAAAACUUAAUAUUUAAUCUCUUCAGGUGGGGGUGUAAGUAUUUUACUGGGGCGGUGGAAAAGAAAACUUUUUCUAAAUAUAAGGACUUUAAGUCUUAAUAUCUAAAAAUUUUGAAAGAAGAAUAAGUUACUUUAGGGAUAACAGCUUAAUUUAUUUUAAAAGUUCUAAUUGACAAAUAAGUUUGUGACCUCGAUGUUGAAUUAAAAGUCCUUUUUAGUGCAAAAG
rnacentral:rRNA from 1 species